GGGCCCGCACAAGCGGUGGAGUAUGUGGUUUAAUUCGAUGCAACGCGAAGAACCUUACCAGGGUUUGACAUCCUGCGAAUCUCUUGGAAACGAGAGAGUGCCUUCGGGAACGCAGUGACAGGUGGUGCAUGGCUGUCGUCAGCUCGUGUCGUGAGAUGUUGGGUUAAGUCCCGCAACGAGCGCAACCCACGUCUUUAGUUGCCAACGAGUAAUGUCGGGAACUCUAACGAACUGCCGGUGCAAACCGUGAGGAAGGUGGGAUGACGUCAAGUCAUCAUGCCCCUUACAUCUGGGCUACACACGUACUACAAUGCUACGGACAAAGGGCAGCAAACUCGCGAGAGCUAGCAAAUCCCAUAAACGUGGCUC
rnacentral:rRNA from 1 species